UCACUUAGGCUGUGGGAGAAGUAGCGAGGAGAGGAGAGCUGUUAGCAUAACUGUGAAUAGUCACAUUUUUCGCCCUGAAAUGGCCAAUGGACAAGACAGUGAUUCAGAUCAGCCAGGAACUAUGAUGAUAAGUGCCCAACUCCAUCUCAGCUUAUCUCAUCAGAUCAACAGUUAAACCUGCAUCGGAGGCUGGCUAACGUCUCUUAUACCCAUCAUGUAUGUCAGUGACACAAUGACCCACACACCUCCAGGCUGUAUAAGGGCUAUUUGACCAAGAAGCAAAGUGAUGGAGUGCUGCAUCAGAUGACCUGGCCUUCACAAUCACCCGACCUCAACUCAAUUGAGAGGGUUUGGGAUGAGUCGGACCGCAGAGGGAAGGAAAAGCAGUCAACAAGUGCUCAGCAUAUGGGGGAACUCCUUCAAGACUCUUGGAAAACAUUCCUCAUUAAGCUGGUUGAGAGAAUGCCAAGAAUGUGCAAAGCUGUCAAGGCAAAGGGUGGCUACUUUGAAGACUCUAAAAUAUAUUUAGAUUUGUUUAACACUUUUUUGGUUACUACAUGAUUCCAUGUGUUUCGUGAUUUUGAAGUCUUCACUAUUAAUCUACAAUGCAGAAAAGAGUACAAAUAAAGAAAAACCCUUGAAUGAG